CUCUGAAGAAGACCUCAGUUCUCUUUCUGCUCAGUUUUCACUACAGUUCGUCUCCCUCAUCUGUAAGCAGCUCCUCUGGGAAGUCAAAACAAGCAUCCUCUGCAGCAUAGGACCUUCAUUUUGUGAAGAUCCUUAAAGACUCAUCUGUUGAUCUGGCUACAUUAUCCAGUCAGAAGAUUCCUUCCAAUCAUGAACUGGUGGUAGAGAGCAAAGGAAGUCUUCUAAAUUCAGCAGCAUGGCCUGAGGGCAGAUAUUCCUACUGUCAAAAACUGCCGCUUCUGUUGCUCUGCAGGUGCCACAGUGGACACAGCUUUCAACCCAGAGAUUAAAAUGAGUGUACCUGAACAUGAUAUUCAGACUGAUUACAAAAGAUCUCAUGGGUGGAACCAAGUGCCAUGAGUUGUGC
rnacentral:lncRNA from 1 species